rnacentral:rRNA from 1 species
UACGAAGGGUGCAAGCGUUAUUCGGAAUUAUUGGGCGUAAAGGGCGCGUAGGCGGUUCGUUAAGUCUGUUGUGAAAUCCCCGGGCUCAACCUGGGAAUGGCAAUGGAUACUGGCGGGCUAGAGUGUGUCAGAGGAUGGUGGAAUUCCCGGUGUAGCGGUGAAAUGCGUAGAGAUCGGGAGGAACAUCAGUGGCGAAGGCGGCCAUCUGGGACAACACUGACGCUGAAGCACGAAAGCGUGGGGAGCAAACAGG